rnacentral:rRNA from 1 species
GAUAAAGAUAAGUUACUAAGGGCGUAUGGCGGAUGCCUAGGCUCUCAGAGGCGAAGAAGGACGUGACAAGCUGCGAUAAGCCAUGGGGAGGCGCAAAUAGCCGGUAUAUCCGUGGAUUUCCGAAUGGGGCAACCCGGCCGCAAGGUCACCGCGCUUAUGGCGCGGGGCAAACCCGCUGAACUGAAACAUCUAAGUAGGCGGAGGAAGAGAAAACAAAAGUGAUUCCCUGAGUAGUGGCGAGCGAAAGGGGAUUAGCCCAAACCGUCGCUGUUUCGGCAGUGGCGGGGUUGUAGGACUGCGACAAGUGAGCAAGCGGGAAAUGGAACCACCUGGAAAGGCGGGCCAGAGCGGGUGAGAGCCCCGUACAUGUAACCGGUUGCAGGCGAGCAGUAUCCUGAGUAGUGCGGGGCACGUGAAACCCUGUGCGAAUCCGGCGGGACCAUCCGCCAAGGCUAAAUACUCCUGAGAGACCGAUAGUGAACUAGUACCGUGAGGGAAAGGUGAAAAGCACCCCGAACAGGGGAGUGAAACAGAACCUGAAACCGUACGCCUACAAGCGGUCGGAGCACCUAUGCGGUGUGACGGCGUGCCUUUUGCAUAAUGAGCCUACGAGUUACUCCUCACUAGCGAGGUUAAGCCUUUAAGGGGCGCAGCCGAAGCGAAAGCGAGUCUGAACAGGGCGUUCAGUUAGUGGGGGUAGACGCGAAACCGUGUGAUCUACCCAUGGCCAGGUUGAAGUUCCGGUAAAACGGAAUGGAGGACCGAACCCGUUGACGUUGAAAAGUCUUGGGAUGAGCUGUGGGUAGGGGUGAAAGGCCAAUCAAACUCGGAAAUAGCUCGUACUCCCCGAAAUGCAUUUAGGUGCAGCCUCGUAACAGUGUCACAGAGGUAAAGCUACUGAUAAGGCUAGGGGGCUUCACCGCCUACCAACCCUUGAUAAACUCUGAAUGCUGUGACAUGGUUUACGGGAGUGAGGGCGCGGGUGCUAAGGUCCGCGCCCGAGAGGGAAAGAACCCAGACCAUCAGCUAAGGUCCCCAAAUAUAUGCUAAGUUGACCAAACGUGGUCCGGCUGCAGUGACAGCUAGGAUGUUGGCUUGGAAGCAGCCAUUCAUUUAAAGAGUGCGUAACAGCUCACUAGUCGAGCGGCUGGGCGUGGAUAAUAAUCGGGCAUAAGCAUAUUACCGAAGCUAUGGUACCGCUUAGGCGGUAGGUAGGGGAGCAUUCCGGCGGCGCAGAAGCUGUGGCUUGAGCCAUGGUGGAGCUUCCGGAAAAGCAAAUGUAGGCAUAAGNNGCACACCGAAAGACUAAGGUUUCCUGAUCAACGCUAAUCGGAUCAGGGUUAGUCGGGGCCUAAGGCGGACCCGCAAGGGGCAGCCGAUGGACAACUGGUCAAUAUUCCAGUACUUCAGAUACUGCGAUGGGGUGACGAAGAUGUGAAAGUACCGCGCACUGACGGAAUAGUGCGUUGAAGGGUGUAGGUGCUGACUGCUGCAGGCAAAUCCGCAGCGGGAGCCGAACCUGAAAGUACCGCGAGCCUCCGGGCGAGCGGAUAGCGUACCUAACCGGGCUUCCGAGAAAACCCCCUAAGCUCCAGGUAUCUGCAACCCGUACCGCAAACCGACACAGGUAGUCGAGGAGAGGAUCCUAAGGUGCUCGAGUGAAUCAUGGCCAAGGAACUAGGCAAAAUAACCCCGUAACUUCGGGAGAAGGGGAUCCCGCAGCAAUGCGGGACGCAGAGAAAUGGCCCAAGCGACUGUUUAUCAAAAACACAAGGCUUUGCGAAAACGAAAGUUGAUGUAUAAGGCCUGACACCUGCCCGGUGCUGGAAGGUUAAGAGGAGAUGUCAUCCGCAAGGAGAAGCAUUGAAUUGAAGCCCCAGUAAACGGCGGCCGUAACUAUAACGGUCCUAAGGUAGCGAAAUUCCUUGUCGGGUAAGUUCCGACCUGCACGAAUGGUGUAACGACUUGGGCACUGUCUCAGCCAUGAGCUCGGUGAAAUUGUAGUAGCGGUGAAGAUGCCGCUUACCCGCAACGGGACGGAAAGACCCCGUGCACCUUUACUAUAGCUUAACAUUGUUCUUGGGUAAGUGAUGUGUAGGAUAGGCCGGAGGCUGUGAAGCGGUGCCGCCAGGUAUCGUGGAGCCGGCGUUGAAAUACGGCCCUUUGCUUAUCUGGGGACUAACCACGCCCGCGUGGGACAGUGUUUGGUGGGUAGUUUGACUGGGGUGGUCGCCUCCAAAAGAGUAACGGAGGNNUGGAAGGGCCAUCGCUCAAAGGAUAAAAGGUACGCCGGGGAUAACAGGCUGAUCGCUCCCAAGAGCUCAUAUCGACGGAGCGGUUUGGCACCUCGAUGUCGGCUCGUCACAUCCUGGGGCUGGAGAAGGUCCCAAGGGUUAGGCUGUUCGCCUAUUAAAGUGGCACGCGAGCUGGGUUCAGAACGUCGUGAGACAGUUCGGUCCCUAUCUGUUGUGGGCGUCGGAAAUUUGAGGGGAGCUGCCGUUAGUACGAGAGGACCGCGGUGGACGAACCUCUAGUGUACCUGUUGUGGCGCCAGCUGCACCGCAGGGUAGCUACGUUCGGAAGGGAUAAGUGCUGAAAGCAUCUAAGCACGAAGCCCACCUCAAGAUGAGAUUUCCUUUAAGGGUCGUUGGAGACUACGACGUUGAUAGGCUGCAGGUGUAAAGGCGGUGACGUCUGAGCCGAGCAGUACUAAUUACCCGUGGGCUUACUUUG